rnacentral:rRNA from 1 species
AUUGAACGCUGGCGGCAUGCCUUACACAUGCAAGUCGAACGGCAGCGCGGACUUCGGUCUGGCGGCGAGUGGCGAACGGGUGAGUAAUACAUCGGAACGUACCCUGUUGUGGGGGAUAACUAGUCGAAAGAUUAGCUAAUACCGCAUACGACCUGAGGGUGAAAGUGGGGGACCGGAAACGGCCUCAUGCAGCAGGAGCGGCCGAUGUCUGAUUAGCUAGUUGGUGGGGUAAAGGCCCACCAAGGCGACGAUCAGUAGCUGGUCUGAGAGGACGAUCAGCCACACUGGGACUGAGACACGGCCCAGACUCCUACGGGAGGCAGCAGUGGGGAAUUUUGGACAAUGGGGGCAACCCUGAUCCAGCAAUGCCGCGUGUGUGAAGAAGGCCUUCGGGUUGUAAAGCACUUUUGUCCGGAAAGAAAUCGCGCUGGUUAAAACCUGGCGUGGAUGACGGUACCGGAAGAAUAAGCACCGGCUAACUACGUG